rnacentral:rRNA from 1 species
AGUGGGGAAUAUUGCACAAUGGGCGAAAGCCUGAUGCAGCAACGCCGCGUGAGUGAUGAAGGCUUUCGAGUCGUAAAGCUCUUUGAUCAGGGAUGAUAAUGACAGUACCUGAAAAACAAGCCACGGCUAACUACGUGCCAGCAGCCGCGGUAAUACGUAGGUGGCGAGCGUUGUCCGGAAUUACUGGGCGUAAAGGAUGCGUAGGUGGAUAUUUAAGUGGGAUGUGAAAUCCCCGGGCUCAACCCGGGAACUGCAUUCCAAACUGGAUAUCUAGAGUGCAGGAGAGGAAAGCGGAAUUCCUAGUGUAGCGGUGAAAUGCGUAGAUAUUAGGAGGAACACCAGUGGCGAAGGCGGCUUUCUGGACUGUAACUGACACUGAGGCAUGAAAGCGUGGGUAGCAAACAGGAUUAGAUACCCUGGUAGUCCACGCCGUAAACGAUGGGUACUAGGUGUAGGAGGUAUCGACCCCUUCUGUGCCGUCGUUAAUACAAUAAGUACCCCGCCUGGGGAGUACGGUCGCAAGACUA